GACGAACGCUGGCGGCGUGCUUAACACAUGCAAGUCGAACGGUGAAGGGGUCUGCUUUUGUGGGCCCUGGAUGAGUGGCGAACGGGUGAGUAACACGUGAGUAACCUGCCCCCUUCUUCUGGAUAACCGCAUGAAAGUGUGGCUAAUACGGGAUAUUCUGGGUCUGUCGCAUGAUGGGUCUGGGAAAGAUUGCGCCUUUGGGUGUUUUUGGUGGGGGAUGGGCUCGCGGCCUAUCAGCUUGUUGGUGGGGUGAUGGCCUACCAAGGCGGUGACGGGUAGCCGGCCUGAGAGGGUGGACGGUCACACUGGGACUGAGACACGGCCCAGACUCCUACGGGAGGCAGCAGUGGGGAAUAUUGCACAGUGGGCGCAAGCCUGAUGCAGCGACGCCGCGUGAGGGAUGGAGGCCUUCGGGUUGUAAACCUCUUUCGCCAGUGAAGCAGGCCUGCUCCUUGUGGGUGGGUUGACGGUAGCUGGAUAAGAAGCGCCGGCUAACUACGUG
rnacentral:rRNA from 1 species